GACGAACGCUGGCGGCGUGGAUUAGGCAUGCAAGUCGGACGGUAGAGCUUUAUCGUAAGAUAGAGUUUGAGAGUGGCGAACGGGUGAGUAACACGUAGGAAUCUACCCUUAAGACGGGGACAACCCAGGGAAACUUGGGCUAAUACCGGAUGAGAGUGCGAGAGAUUGCAUUUAAAAGGAUGGCGAAAGUUGUCGCUUAGGGAUGAGCCUGCGGUCUAUUAGUUAGUUGGUGAGGUAAGAGCUCACCAAGGCGAUGAUAGAUAGGCGGCCUUAACGGGUGGUCGCCCACACUGGGAUUGAGAUACGGCCCAGACUCCUACGGGAGGCAGCAGUCGAGAAUAGUCUACAAUGGCCGGAAGGCUGAUAGUGCGACGCCGCGUGAACGAUGAAUCCCUUCGGGGUGUAAAGUUCUUUUAUAUGUGAGCAGUGCUUCUUAUGUUAACAGUAUGGGGAGAGAGAUAUUAGCAUAUGAAUAAGCAACGGCUAACUCCGUGCC
rnacentral:rRNA from 1 species